rnacentral:rRNA from 1 species
UGAGGAAUAUUGGUCAAUGGGCGAGAGCCUGAACCAGCCAAGUCGCGUGAGGGAAGACGGCCCUACGGGUUGUAAACCUCUUUUGUCAGGGAGCAAGGACGGAUACGCGUAUCCGGGCGAGAGUACCUGAAGAAAAAGCAUCGGCUAACUCCGUGCCAGCAGCCGCGGUAAUACGGAGGAUGCGAGCGUUAUCCGGAUUUAUUGGGUUUAAAGGGUGCGUAGGCGGGAUGCCAAGUCAGCGGUAAAAUUGCGUGGCUCAACCACGCCGAGCCGUUGAAACUGGUGUUCUUGAGUGGAAGAGAAGUACGCGGAAUGCGUGGUGUAGCGGUGAAAUGCAUAGAUAUCACGCAGAACUCCGAUUGCGAAGGCAGCGUACCGGCUUCCAACUGACGCUGAAGCACGAAAGCGUGGGUAUCGAACAGG